rnacentral:rRNA from 1 species
UUUACGAAAGGUUACAGUACCGGAAUAUGCAUAAUUGGGGCAUCUCCAAAGUAUUUGGAAAAUAGUUCAGCAUUUAUUGUUGCACUCAUCAAUACAAGGCGAAGGUCAGGACGCCUUGGCAGAAGGUCCCGUAAAAUGAUGAUGAGAAAAUCUUCACUCAUGCCACGUUCAUGA